GAAAUGGUUAUGACACCUGGCACAGCCAACUCAAGAGAAAGUUCAAAGCAGAACGGGCUCCCCUAAUCAGCAACGAAGAAGUGAACCGGGUUAAAGAAAAGUUUGGACGCACGCAGAAACAUCGGACCACAGAGGAAUCCAGCAGCUCCUGUCUGAAGAGACUGAAGCCCUCUCUCGUAAAUCCUCACACCCUCAGCCUCUAAGAGCUAAGGAUUCGUGCUUUGUGGGGGAAGAUGCAGCCUCCGUUGAUGCUCAUAUCAAGGUGCUAAAUGAUCAGCACAGGACGCUACAUCCUGACACAGCACUGGUGAAAGACCGCAUGACAAAAACCUUUGCAUGGAGACGUCAAGAGGUAGCUGAAGGAAUGUGUACUGUGGACCUAUUAAAGAGAUAUCCAUUCCUGGGGACAUCUGCAGGGUUGUGUGAUGAGGUUGAUUUAAUGCAUCCCUGCCAAGACAACAUCUGUUGCCGCUUUAGCGAGAACUUCACUGCUGUUCUUCAAAAUGUUCUUCAAAUGACCAAGGAUUUGCCACUGAAGAAGGUCUUCAUGGAGGCAAGAGAGAAUGCACUGGCUGAAGACAUUACAGGAAUUGACUUCAAGGGG